rnacentral:rRNA from 1 species
GAUUCCCCUAGUAACUGCGAGUGAAGCGGGAAAAGCUCAAAUUUAAAAUCUGGCGGUCUCUGGCCGUCCGAGUUGUAAUCUAGAGAAGCAAUGCCCGCGCUGGACCGUGUACAAGUCUCCUGGAAUGGAGCGUCAUAGAGGGUGAGAAUCCCGUCUUUGACACGGACUACCAGGGCUUUGUGGUAUGCUCUCAAAGAGUCGAGUUGUUUGGGAAUGCAGCUCAAAAUGGGUGGUAAAUUCCAUCUAAAGCUAAAUAUUGGCGAGAGACCGAUAGCGAACAAGUACCGUGAGGGAAAGAUGAAAAGAACUUUGGAAAGAGAGUUAAACAGUACGUGAAAUUGCUGAAAGGGAAACGCUUGAAGUCAGUCGCGUUGGCCGGGGAUCAGCCUCGCUUUUGCGUGGUGUACUUUCCGGUUGACGGGUCAACAUCAAUUUUGACCACUGGAAAAAGACUUGGGGAAUGUGGCAGCUCCGGCUGUGUUAUAGCUCUUUGUCAUAUACAGUGGUUGGGAUUGAGGUACUCAGCACGCCGCAAGGCCGGGUUUCGACCACGUUCGUGCUUAGGAUGUUGGCAUAAUGGCUUUAAGCGACCCGUCUUGAAACACGGACCAAGGAGUCUAACAUGCCUGCGAGUGUUUGGGUGGAAAACCCGAGCGCGUAAUGAAAGUGAAAGUUGAGAUCCCUGUCGCGGGGAGCAUCGACGCCCGGACCAGAACUUUUGGGACGGAUCCGCGGUAGAGCAUGUAUGUUGGGACCCGAAAGAUGGUGAACUAUGCCUGAAUAGGGUGAAGCCAGAGGAAACUCUGGUGGAGGAUCGUAGC